rfam:Parcubacteria group bacterium CG2_30_36_18 cg2_3.0_scaffold_5178_c, whole genome shotgun sequence.
CGCGGCGUAGAGCAGUAGUAGCUUGCGAGGCCCAUAACCUCGAGGUCGUUGGUGCAAAUCCAACCGCCGCAA